AAAAAAUCAAUAAAAUAGAUAUAAAUGUAACUUUGACUAUUUGACACCUCACGUGCAAAGCCCGCGAAAGAACCAGAGGUUAUAUAAGCUGCGGUCGUCACAUCACGCGCACAGCCGGACUCUGAGUGGACAUCGCCUGACCGGAGAGCUUUCACGAGCUGCUGCACCCCAAAGGCUCCACAGCACUUGUCACAAGUCUUUGGCUUUAUUUGUCAAGAUCAUCUGAAAAGAGUUCACCUAUGCCAUUGAGCUGGAUGGAAAAACUGAGAAGAUUAUAAACAGAUGGCAUGGAAGAAGAGAGCAGGUCCUACAACAAAGAAAUUCUUCUUAAGGAUAAACAUGAGGUCCUGGGAGAUCUUAGAGGUUCUAAUGUGUUUUUUAUGCAUUUGUUGAUGUCAA